GGUGCGCAUGACAGAGGAUGCUACAGGCACGCCCCCAGUAGGUAUAUAGCGCCAGUAUGUGCAUUGUGCAAAACAUCGGUUUGGCUAAGGACCCCCGAAAAUGGCACCUACGAAGAGACACGCUUACGAAGCACAGUUUAAACAGCAAGCUGUCAGUUACACGGAGGAACAUGGGAAUCGAGCAUUUCAUGUUUGAUGGAGAACUUGCCCAGCUGUUCAUUUUGGCUACAGAAGAUGAGGACUUUGAUGGAUUUGUGGAUGAGGAUUGAUAAAAAAAUAACUUUCUGGGGUUCAUUGUGGAGAAGGGUGAGCUAAGAGCCGAUCAUGCCAAGCCAGUUUCUUGGAGGUGAUUGGUGGGCGGAUUACCCUGCAUCGCACCUGCCACCCUUUAUCAUUAGUGAGGUAUUUAGAGGGGUGCCAGAGGAAGUUGCCGAGUCAAUGUUCUUUGCUAGUUGCC